ACUCUUUCGCAGGGGCAAUUUCAUAGUCUGUGAAGUUCUGCUGAGACGUGAUUAUUGCUAGUUGAAAACUUAACCCAAUACCCC
rnacentral:snRNA from 1 species